rnacentral:rRNA from 1 species
AGUGAACGCUGGCGGUAGGCCUAACACAUGCAAGUCGAACGGCAGCACAGUAAGAGCUUGCUCUUACGGGUGGCGAGUGGCGGACGGGUGAGGAAUACAUCGGAAUCUACUUUUUCGUGGGGGAUAACGUAGGGAAACUUACGCUAAUACCGCAUACGACCUACGGGUGAAAGCAGGGGAUCUUCGGACCUUGCGCGAUUGAAUGAGCCGAUGUCGGAUUAGCUAGUUGGCGUGGUAAAGGCCCACCAAGGCGACGAUCCGUAGCUGGUCUGAGAGGAUGAUCAGCCACACUGGAACUGAGACACGGUCCAGACUCCUACGGGAGGCAGCAGUGGGGAAUAUUGGACAAUGGGCGCAAGCCUGAUCCAGCCAUACCGCGUGGGUGAAGAAGGCCUUCGGGUUGUAAAGCCCUUUUGUUGGGAAAGAAAAGCAGCAGGUUAAUACCCCGCUGUUCUGACGGUACCCAAAGAAUAAGCAACGGCUAACUUCGUG